ensembl:lncRNA
GGAAAGCCUCACUGAUUGGUGAUCACUUGGUGGCAUCACUGGAUUUGUGUUUAAGAAAACAACUUUAAGGACUCAGUGCUGCAUGGACAAGUCAGAAGAAGCUGGAAGCAGGGAAAUAUUUUAAGCAAUAGUGCUGGAAUAGGGCCCAUCGUGCUGGAAACUGGGACAGCGAAAAAUGAACUCAGCAGAAAGCUCACACGGCCCAGUCUCAGAUUCCAGAAGACCUCUGGUUAGGAAACUUUGGACCACUGGACAAAACCCCAAGAGGGAUUGUCAGAAGAUCCUCUGACCAAUCCUGAGGAAAUCUGAUACACUGAUGGAAGCAACUUUGUCUUGGAUGGAAAAAGAAGAACCGGGUGUUAGUGCAACUUGAGGACUAAAUUAUUUAUCCUUUGCUUUGUAUGCAAG